rnacentral:rRNA from 1 species
GCUUGCUGGGGGGAUUAGUGGCGAACGGGUGAGUAACACGUGAGUAACCUGCCCUUGACUCUGGGAUAAGCCUGGGAAACUGGGUCUAAUACCGGAUAUGACUCCUCAUCGCAUGGUGGGGGGUGGAAAGCUUUUGUGGUUUUGGAUGGACUCGCGGCCUAUCAGCUUGUUGGUGGGGUAAUGGCCUACCAAGGCGACGACGGGUAGCCGGCCUGAGAGGGUGACCGGCCACACUGGGACUGAGACACGGCCCAGACUCCUACGGGAGGCAGCAGUGGGGAAUAUUGCACAAUGGGCGAAAGCCUGAUGCAGCGACGCCGCGUGAGGGAUGACGGCCUUCGGGUUGUAAACCUCUUUCAGUAGGGAAGAAGCCGCGAGGUGACGGUACCUGCAGAAGAAGCGCCGGCUAACUACGUGCCAGCAGCCGCGGUAAUACGUAGGGCGCAAGCGUUAUCCGGAAUUAUUGGGCGUAAAGAGCUCGUAAGCGGUUUGUCGCGUCUGCUGUGAAAGACCGGGGCUCAACUCCGGUUCUGCAGUGGG